GACGAACGCUGGCGGCGUGCUUAACACAUGCAAGUCGAACGGAAAGGCCCUGCUUUUGUGGGGUGCUCGAGUGGCGAACGGGUGAGUAACACGUGAGUAACCUGCCCUUGACUUUGGGAUAACUUCAGGAAACUGGGGCUAAUACCGGAUAGGAGCUCCUGCUGCAGGGUGGGGGUUGGAAAGUUUCGGCGGUUGGGGAUGGACUCGCGGCUUAUCAGCUUGUUGGUGGGGUAGUGGCUUACCAAGGCUUUGACGGGUAGCCGGCCUGAGAGGGUGACCGGCCACAUUGGGACUGAGAUACGGCCCAGACUCCUACGGGAGGCAGCAGUGGGGAAUAUUGCACAAUGGGCGGAAGCCUGAUGCAGCAACGCCGCGUGCGGGAUGACGGCCUUCGGGUUGUAUACCGCUUUCGCCUGUGACGAAGCGUGAGUGACGGUAAUGGGUAAAGAAGCACCGGCUAACUACGUG
rnacentral:rRNA from 1 species